CUCUAAUACAAUUUUGGGAUUAUAUAUUUUACGGAAUAUAUACAGUAAAGGUAUUAGUAUUAAAGAGAUUUAUUCCUUCCUAAUGUGCAAUGAUUUUAUUGCCCAAGGUAAAAAUGAAUCAGCAAAAUAUGUAUUAGUAGAUUUUCGAAUAUAUGUAUU
rnacentral:ncRNA from 1 species